GAUGAACGCUGGCGGCGUGCCUAAUACAUGCAAGUCGAGCGAACAGACGAGGAGCUUGCUCCUCUGACGUUAGCGGCGGACGGGUGAGUAACACGUGGAUAACCUACCUAUAAGACUGGGAUAACUUCGGGAAACCGGAGCUAAUACCGGAUAAUAUAUUGAACCGCAUGGUUCAAUAGUGAAAGACGGUUUUGCUGUCACUUAUAGAUGGAUCCGCGCCGCAUUAGCUAGUUGGUAAGGUAACGGCUUACCAAGGCAACGAUGCGUAGCCGACCUGAGAGGGUGAUCGGCCACACUGGAACUGCGACACGGUCCAGACUCCUACGGGAGGCAGCAGUAGGGAAUCUUCCGCAAUGGGCGAAAGCCUGACGGAGCAACGCCGCGUGAGUGAUUAAGGUCUUCGGAUCGUAAAACUCUGUUAUUAGGGAAGAACAAAUGUGUAAGUAACUAUGCACGUCUUGACGGUACCUAAUCAGAAAGCCACGGCUAACUACGUG
rnacentral:rRNA from 1 species